UACGUAGGGUGCAAGCGUUAAUCGGAAUUACUGGGCGUAAAGCGUACGCAGGCGGCUUUGCAAGACAGAUGUGAAAUCCCCGGGCUCAACCUGGGAACUGCAUUUGUGACUGCAUGGCUAUAGUGCGGCAGAGGGGGAUGGAAUUCCGCGUGUAGCAGUGAAAUGCGUAGAGAUGUGGAGGAACACCGAUGGCGAAGGCAGCCCCCUGGGCUAACACUGACGCUCAUGCACGAAAGCGUGGGGAGCAAACAGG
rnacentral:rRNA from 1 species